GAUGAACGCUGGCGGCGUGCCUAAUACAUGCAAGUCGAGCGGACGGACGAUAAGCUUGCUUCUCUGAUGUUAGCGGCGGACGUGUGAGUAACGCGUGUAUAACCUACCUAUAAGACUGGGAUAACCUCGGGACACCGGAUCUAAUCCCGUAUAAUAUUUUGCACCGCAUUGUUCAAAAGUGAAAUACGGCCUUUCUGUCUCUUCUAGAUGGAUCCGCGCUGCAUUAGCUAGUUGGUAAGGUAACGGCUUACCAAGGCAACGAUGCAUAGCCGACCUGAGAGGGGGAUAGGCCACCCUGGAGCUGAGCCACGGUCCAGACUCCUAAGGGAGGCACCAGUCGGGAACCUGCCGCAAUGGGCGAAAGCCUGACGGAGCAACCCGGCGCGAGAGAUGAAGGCCUUCGGAUCGUAAAAACCUGUUAUGAGGGAAGAACAUAUGUGUACGGAACUGUGCACAGCUUGACGGUAACUAAUAAGAAAGCCCCGGCUAACUACGUG
rnacentral:rRNA from 1 species